AACGUAGGGGACAAGCGUUAUCCGGAUUUAUUGGGCGUAAAGCGCACGUAGGCGGCUCGCUAAGCUAGACGUGAAAGCUCCCGGCUUAACUGGGAGAGGUCGUUUAGGACUGGCGGGCUGGAGGCUGGAAGAGGAGCGUGGAAUUCCCGGUGUAGUGGUGGAAUGCGUAGAUAUCGGGAGGAACACCAGUGGCGAAAGCGACGCUCUGGUCCAGCCCUGACGUUGAGGUGCGAAAGCGUGGGGAGCGAACGGGAUUAGAAACCCCCGUAGUCC
rnacentral:rRNA from 1 species